CUCUCUCUCUCUCUCUCUCUCUCUCUCGCCAUUCUCUCUCUCUCUCCAUUGUGCCAAGGUGGCGCGGCUGCUCAAACUCCGUCGCCAGAGCGGUCACCCGAGGCGCCCUCCUCCGGCGAGUGGAGUCGCCACCGGUCAGAAACCCUGUUCACGAGAAUUGUUAGAGCUGGUCAUCUCGCGAUUCUUGAGAGGGUUUAAGGCGGCGGCGAUUUCUCAAGAGAAGCGGUGAUUUUCUAGAAGCCUUUAAAGGAUAUUCUCAAUGAGAUUGAGCGGUGAUUUCUCAGUGAAAAUUCACACGUGAUACUGUAGCAGUUCUACAGUGAUCAAUAUUUUGAUUGAGAGAUCUCAAGUUUGAGAUCUUCUUUUUGCAAGCUUUGUAAUUUCUUGUGGUUAAAUAAGAAAUUAUUUGUGCGGCUCCCGUGGACUUAAGCAAGUUUACCGAACCACGUAAAUCUGUUGUCUUGUCUCCUUUACCUAUUUUUAUCUAUGUAUUCGCUAUUGCUUGUGAUUGGUUGGUUUUGAGUUUGGUGUAAACUCUAGCUAGGGUUGUUUUUCUCUCUCGAAGUUGAUAUCGCUUCCGUGACAUUGUGGGCGUCUCCCGUCCCCAACAAUAAUUUAAAUGUUAUUACUCAUA